GUACGAGCAUGGGGCUUAAUUUGACCCAACGCGGGAAAUCUUACCGGGUCCGGACACACUGAGGAUUGACAGGUGUUUCGUGUAAGCUUAUAUUGUAAACUUGUUUUACUUUAUACUACACAUAUCAAAUAUGCUAGUCCUUUCAUGAUUGUGUGAUAGGUGGUGCAUGGCCGUUCUUAGUUCGUGGAGUGAUCUGUCUGCUUAAUUGCGUUUCACUUAUGGUAUUUGUGUUUAUAUGUUAUUACUUGUGACCUCACAUUUAUGUGACGCGUCCAGUAUAACUCUAACACUUUUACUACGAAGGCAACGAACGUGACCG
rnacentral:rRNA from 1 species